CCUUGCCAGCCCGCUCAAGAAACUCAAAUGAAUUGACGGGGGCCCGCACAAGCGGUGGAGUAUGUGGUUUAAUUCGAUGCAACGCGAAGAACCUUACCUGGUCUUGACAUCCCGGAGACCCUUAGGAAACUAGGGGGUGCUUCCAUCUGGAAGAAUCUGGAGACAGGUGCUGCAUGGCUGUCGUCAGCUCGUGUCGUGAGAUGUUGGGUUAAGUCCCGCAACGAGCGCAACCCUUGCCUUUAGUUGCCAGCAGUUCGGCUGGGCACUCUAAAGGGACUGCCGGUGUUAAACCGGAGGAAGGUGGGGAUGACGUCAAGUCCUCAUGGCCUUUAUGACCAGGGCUACACACGUACUACAAUGGCCGAUACAAAGGGCAGCGACACUGCGAGGUGAAGCCAAUCCCGUAAAAUCGGUCUCAGUCCGGAUUGGAGUCUGCAACUCGACUCCAUGAAGUUGGAAUCGCUAGUAAUCGUGGAUCAGCAUGCCACGGUGAAUACGUUCCCGGGCCUU
rnacentral:rRNA from 1 species